rnacentral:lncRNA from 1 species
GGUAGUAGCAGGACAAUGAUAGGAUAAUCAGUAGUUGGUAACCUGAGAAGAAAGAUGUGAAGAGAUGAAAGAGUGGGACCUGGCACCAGCUCAUUGGAUACUCCAUUUCAUUUAGAGUCUUUGAAAUUAGAGAUUUCAAUGACUAUAAAUAAGAGAGUCGAUAGACGUUUCUUAUGCAUUUUCUGUUAUUGAACUGGGUUGAUUGAGCUGGGCUCUUUAAUGGCGACGAUCUGGUGAUUGUCGAGCUCCAGAUAAUCGGUAUAAUCGGUAGCUAGUUCCGAGUUUAGAUCAUAACAGACAACCAUUGUCAAUAUGUUCUCAAAUCCAUUAUCCAUCUUUGGAGCUAAUUCCACAGUUAAUUGUAGAUUUCUCUUUGUUUACUGCAAAAACAGUAAUAAUUAAUACGCACACCAUUAUCUAUACUACUAUCUGCAACUACACCAAAAACAAUUCGAGAUCAGAUAAAGAAAAUAACUUAUCUUUUGGAGACGGUCACUACCACCUAUUCCACCAAUUCGGUAUAAUCGGUAGCAAUCACAGCGACUUAAAAAUCCAUCAAAUAGAUGUAAAAACCAUUUUUUCUAAAUAGUGAUUUAAAAUGAUAGUUACAUUUUAUUAGUAAAUUGAAAACACAAAUAAUUCAACCUAAUACCGGAUCCAUAUCCAAAUUAAACAAGUCUAAUAUCUUCUGGUAAAACGCAUGUUAUUACCUAGUACACUAUAAAUUACUAGUGUUCGUCAAACAUUCAAGUCAAAAACGAAGAUGGUUAACUAUUUUGAGGUCGACUCUAUUUCAUUCAAUGAAAAAUU